UACGAAGGGGGCUAGCGUUGCUCGGAAUCACUGGGCGUAAAGGGUGCGUAGGCGGGUCUUUUAAGUCAGGGGUGAAAUCCUGGAGCUCAACUCCAGAACUGCCUUUGAUACUGAGGAUCUUGAGUUCGGGAGAGGUGAGUGGAACUGCGAGUGUAGAGGUGAAAUUCGUAGAUAUUCGCAAGAACACCAGUGGCGAAGGCGGCUUACUGGUCCGGUACUGACGCUGAGGCACGAAAGCGUGGGGAGCAAACAGG
rnacentral:rRNA from 1 species